GUAGGUGGCAAGCGUUGUCCGGAAUUAUUGGGCGUAAAGCGCGCGCAGGCGGUUCUUUAAGUCCGAUGUGAAAGCCCACGGCUCAACCGUGGAGGGUCAUUGGAAACUGGAGAACUUGAGUACAGAAGAGGAAAGCGGAAUUCCACGUGUAGCGGUGAAAUGCGUAGAGAUGUGGAGGAACACCAGUGGCGAAGGCGGCUUUCUGGUCUGUAACUGACGCUGAGGCGCGAAAGCGUGGGGAGCAAACAGGAUUAGAUACCCUGGUAGUCCACGCCGUAAACGAUGAGUGCUAAGUGUUAGGGGGUUUCCGCCCCCCUUAGUGCUGCAGCUAACGCAUUAAGCACUCCGCCUGGGAGUACGGCCGCAAGGCUG
rnacentral:rRNA from 1 species